rnacentral:tRNA from 1 species
GCGGACGUGGCGGAACUGGUAGACGCAAGGGACUUAAAAUCCCUCAGCCUAUGGCUAUCCGGGUUCGAUUCCCGGCGUCCGCACCA